CCUACGGGCGCUGCAGUGGGGAAUAUUGGACAAUGGGCAAAAGCCUGAUCCAGCCAUGCCGCGUGUGUGAAGAAGGCCUUCGGGUUGUAAAGCACUUUCAGUGGGGAAGAAAGCCUUGGGGCUAAUACCCUCGAGGAAGGACAUCACCCACAGAAGAAGCACCGGCUAACUCCGUGCCAGCAGCCGCGGUAAUACGGAGGGUGCGAGCGUUAAUCGGAAUUACUGGGCGUAAAGCGCGCGUAGGCGGUCUGAUAAGCCGGUUGUGAAAGCCCCGGGCUCAACCUGGGAACGGCAUCCGGAACUGUCAGGCUAGAGUGCAGGAGAGGAAGGUAGAAUUCCCGGUGUAGCGGUGAAAUGCGUAGAGAUCGGGAGGAAUACCAGUGGCGAAGGCGGCCUUCUGGACUGACACUGACGCUGAGGUGCGAAAGCGUGGAUAGCAAACAGGAUUAGAUACCCUUGUAGUC
rnacentral:rRNA from 1 species